UACAGAGGUCCCAAGCGUUGUUCGGAUUCACUGGGCGUAAAGGGCGCGUAGGCGGUUCGGUAAGUCACUUGUGAAAUCCCGGUGCUCAACGCCGGGGCUGCAGGUGAGACUGCCAGACUGGAGCUCGGUAGAGGCGAAUGGGAUUCCCGGUGUAGCGGUGGAAUGCGUAGAUAUCGAGAGGAACACCAGUGGCGAAGGCGAGUCUCUGGACAUUUCCUGACGCUGAGGCACGAAAGCCAGGGGAGCAAACGGG
rnacentral:rRNA from 1 species